rnacentral:lncRNA from 1 species
CAUUGCUGCAGCUCAGGUUCGCAUGCCUUGAUAGAGGACUGGCCUCCACACCAGCUGCUAGAAGACAACUGGAGCUUCCUUCUGUACCCUGAUGCAUCUUUUCAACCGUAAGAUCCUGAUGUAGCCUUCAAAGUGACCACGCAAAGCAGAAGGUCCUCGGGAGAACUAGACUAACAGAUCCAAGAUUCAAAUCUCUGUGGACAAGGAUGUACAUUGGGAAACAAGAAAUCAUUUUAUACCGAGGAACUUUCUAUUACAAAGGGCCGUGGGCUGUGGGAGGCAUACAAGGUUGACGUUUCUGGCUAUCUUAUCCAUAGAUUGAACAAAAAGGCCAGAAGAUAAGGUCAAUCGGAUGUGUGGUUGUGCAGAGUGACUUAGAAGGCAAUGCCUGGGACAGCAGACCAAUUCAAUUCAUUUCCCCUUGUGGAGAUCCAUG